rnacentral:rRNA from 1 species
UACAGAGGGUGCAAGCGUUGUUCGGAAUUACUGGGCGUAAAGCGUGCGCAGGCGGUUCGUUAAGUCAGCUGUGAAAGCCCCGGGCUCAACCUGGGAACUGCGGUUGAAACUGGCGAACUAGAAUCUGGCAGAGGGGGGUGGAAUUCCACGUGUAGCAGUGAAAUGCGUAGAGAUGUGGAGGAACACCGAUGGCGAAGGCAGCCCCCUGGGCUGAGAUUGACGCUCAGGCACGAAAGCGUGGGGAGCAAACAGG